rnacentral:tRNA from 1 species
GCCUGAGUGGCACAGUCGGUUAAGCGUCUGACUUUGACUCAGGUCGUGAUCUCACAGCUCGUGGGUUCGAGCCCCGCAUCGGGCU